GGGGAUUUAGCUCAGUGGCAUAAGCACCUGCCUUGCAAGCUGGCGGUCAUGAGUUCAAUCCCCG
rnacentral:tRNA from 1 species